UCCCAGUCCCUACCUCACAGGGCUGUUUGUGACUAAAGCACGUUGUAAAGCUCUGUAAAUAUAAUGUGUAUGUUUUUUAAGUGAGUCUCAGUUCCUGAUUUCUUUAGUGUGGGGAGCUGCUACUGUGAAAAUGUCCCCCACCAAUGCAAAUAUGCAAGUAGUCUGUAAUUCAUAGUCUCUGAGAGUUGCCUGAGAAAUUAGAUGAUAAAUCUGUAGUUACACAGCCAGCUUUCAUCAGGACCAAGGCUUAAACUUGAAUCAUCUGGGUUACAAGGGCUCUCUCAAUUAAGUCAUGCAGCCUAAAAGAAGUUUCCUUAAAACAUUUAUCCCCCCAGGACACAGUAGAAGGCUGGAUGUUGGAGACUGUAGAAAAGGGAGAUGCAGACGGGGAAAUGGAGUUUAGAAGAGGAGCAACUUAUUUAAGAAGCGGGUGCUAGUUAGCCGCAGACCCAUAACUAAAACCCAAUUACUUUCACCUAAAUCUUGUUGUCAUUUGAGAUAACGAAUCUUAGGGGUAUCCAGUGCCCAGAUUUCCUGAAAGGGGAAGGGGGGGGGGAAUCAUCAAACAAUACCGGCAUCUGUAACCCUCAUAGUCUCCUACGGCGUGUAGCUUUCCCACCAUUUUAUAUUAGGGAGAGUCAUUAUCAAACUGCAGUUCAUAUUGGCGUUUUUUCAAAGAAAACUGUACUUUGCCAUUGAAGAAAAAAAAAUGUG
rnacentral:lncRNA from 1 species